AACUUACUGUUAUUUUUGGCCCUCAUUACACAUGCAAGCCUCCACAAGCCCGUGCCACAAGCCCAGCAACCUGCUAGCCAACCCUGGAAGCGGCAUCAGGCACACCCAGGUAGCCUACGACGCCCAGCCCUGCCACACCCCCACGGAUUUCAGCAGUGAUAGACAUUAAGCAAUGAGCGACCCCUACAAGCUCGACUUAGCCACAGCCAUAAUUGGGGCCGGUAAAUUCCGUGCCAGCCACCGCGGUUAUACGAAAGACCCUAAAUAACGCCCCCCGGUGUAAAUCGUGACUAGAAUAUACUUCCCCACGGGACCUGUCAUCUUAAUAUAGUGAUAAAAUACAACAUAUACAAGUACACACCAACAACGUCCCCCCCCGAACCUCUUUGCCGCCACGAAAGCUGGGACAUAAACCAGGAUUAGAUACCCUGCUAUACCCAGCCGUUAACUACGAUGGCCCCAACACCCACUGCCAUCCGCCAGAGGAUUACAAAUGAAAAACUUAAAACUCUAAGGACUUGACGGUGUCCCACACCAGCCUAGAGGAGCCUGUCUCCUAAUCGAUACUCCACGCUAAACCUUCCCCCCUCUAGCACCAACUCAGCCUAUAUACCGCCGUCGCCAGCUCGCCUAAUGAUAGACAACAGAGCAAGCAAAAGAGCCCACCACACUAACACGUCAGGUCAAGGUGUAGCUAAUGAGGGGGUCAAAGAUGGGCUACAUUUUCUCACCCCCAGAAAACCACUACGGGCUAUAUGAAACCUAAGCCAUCCGGCGGAUUUAGCAGUAAAUUCUGGCAAGACAUGCCUGAUUGAAGCCUGCCCUGGGACGCGUACACACCGCCCGUCACCCUCUUCAACUAGCCCUAACCCCCCCCAACAUAUAC
rnacentral:rRNA from 1 species